rnacentral:rRNA from 1 species
UACGGAGGGUGCAAACGUUGCUCGGAAUCAUUGGGCGUAAAGCGCACGUAGGCGGACUGUUAAGUCGGAUGUGAAAUCCCUCAGCUUAACUGAGGAAGUGCACUCGAAACUGGCAGUCUUGAGUAUGGAAGAGGGUCGCGGAAUUCCCGGUGUAGAGGUGAAAUUCGUAGAUAUCGGGAGGAACACCAGUGGCGAAGGCGGCGACCUGGGCCAAUACUGAACGCUGAGGUGGCGAAAGCGUGGGGAGCAAACAGGG